CCUAGUAACGGCGAGUGAACCGGGAAGAGCUCAAAUUUGAAAUCUGGCGUCCUCAGGGCGUCCGAGUUGUAAUCUAUAGAGGCGUUUUCCGCGCCGGACCGUGUAUAAGUCUCCUGGAACGGAGUAUCAAAGAGGGUGACAAUCCCGUGCUUUACACGACGACCGGUGCUAUGUGAUACGUCUUCUACGAGUCGAGUUGUUUGGGAAUGCAGCUCAAAACGGGUGGUAAACUCCAUCUAAAGCUAAAUAUUGGUGGGAGACCGAUAGCGAACAAGUACCGUGAGGGAAAGAUGAAAAGCACUUUGGAAAGAGAGUUAAACAGUAUGUGAAAUUGUUGAAAGGGAAACGAUUGAAGUCAGUCGUGUCCAUUGGGUUCAGCCGGUCCUGCCGGUCUACUCCCUUUGGACGGGUCAACAUCAGUUCUGAUCGGCGGAUAAUGGCACGGGGAACGUGGCACCCUCCGGGGUGUGUUAUAGCCUCGCGUCGCAUACGCUGGUCGGGACUGAGGAACGCAGCUCGCCCUCACGGGCCGGGGUUCGCCCACGUCCGAGCU
rnacentral:rRNA from 1 species